AAGUCGGUGUACCUCGGCUACCGCUGUCACUUCUCGGUAGAGGAGAGCAGGUGUUGUUGUCCGCGUAUAUUUCCAGGUAAGGUGUCUCGUUACACUUUGUAAACUACCACUCGUACUAUGUUUCCAUUUAUUUUGUGCAUAUUUUUUCAUAAAAUUUUCAUACCGGAAAAUAUGCAGUAUUGUAGAUAAUUGUUCUUUACUAGAAAGCAUGCACGCGGAUAUUUACAAUUUAUAUGAAAUGACUUAUAUGUCUGAUGGACCGGGUGCAAAUUAUUUAUUUUCAAUGUAUUCUGUCAUGCAGUUAUUGUCAUGUCUUAAAUUUUGUAUGUACACCUAUCCAGAAAAUUCUAUAAUUUACAACAUGACAAUUCACUUGUAUUCUGAAUGUCAUAUAUGCACAAUGCUAAACAAUAACUUACAUGUACUUGCUAACAUACUUGUUCCACCGGUACAGAUAGUUGUCAUGUUACUUUUUCGACAAACAGAAUAAUUUUUGUAUUUACAAGGAAAGAGGGCGUUUCCCUGCUUUGGAUACGACGAAACACAUUGCCAUCUGCCAUGUCACAUGACGGAGGAUAAGACUUGUUGUUGGUGCCCUUUGGUUGGAAAAUAAAAUGUUACGUACUAAUAUAUCAUAUGAUGACGUUAAUCGGCUAGUAAGGAAUAAAAUUCCAAAGCAGUUGUCAAAU
rnacentral:sRNA from 1 species